AGCAGCCGCGGUAAUUCCAGCUCCAAUAGCGUAUAUUAAAGUUGUUGCAGUUAAAAAGCUCGUAGUUGAAUUUCGGGAUCAAUAUAUCGGUCGUGCCUUCGGUAUGUACUGGUAUUAUUGGUUUCUCCUUUCUGACAAACUAUGAUGUCAUUAAUUUGGUGUCAUGGGGAAUCAGGACUGUUACUUUGAAAAAAUUAGAGUGUUUAAAGCAGGCACACGCUUGAAUACAUUAGCAUGGAAUAAUGAAAUAGGACGUUUGACCCUAUUUUGUUGGUUUCUAGGAUCGACGUAAUGAUUAAUAGGGAUAGUUGGG
rnacentral:rRNA from 1 species